rnacentral:rRNA from 1 species
AACGAACGCUGGCGGCAGGCUUAACACAUGCAAGUCGAGCGCCCCGCAAGGGGAGCGGCAGACGGGGUGAGUAACGCGUGGGAACAUACCCUUUGGUUCGGAAUAACUCAGGGAAACUUGAGCUAAUACCGGAUACGUCCGUAAGGAGAAAGAUUUAUCGCCAAAGGAUUGGCCCGCGUCCGAUUAGCUAGUUGGUGAGGUAACGGCUCACCAAGGCUGCGAUCGGUAGCUGGUCUGAGAGGAUGAUCAGCCACAUUGGGACUGAGACACGGCCCAAACUCCUACGGGAGGCAGCAGUGGGGAAUAUUGGACAAUGGGCGCAAGCCUGAUCCAGCAAUGCCGCGUGCAGGAUGAAGGCCUUCGGUUGGUAACUAGCUUUGUUACGGUAACGAAACGGUAGAG